ensembl:lncRNA
GUAACACUGUCGUUUUUUAUUGGUCGUCAUGAAAAAAAACAUAAGGGGUAACACUGUUGUUUUUUAUUGGUCGUCAUGAAAAAAAACAUAAGGGGUAACACUGUCGUUUUUUAUUGGUCCGGGGUUCAAGUCCGGUUGAUGUCAGAUGUUGGAAGACUCUUAUCUCUAUUUCAUGCGAAUUAUAAAGUCAAGUAUAACCAUUGUGAUGACUUUCUUCUGUGUCUUGUUGGAGCAUUGAUAAGUUCGGAGGUUAACACUCUAAACAGCUCAGUUUCUGAUCCCCGUAAAAACGUCGCCAGGGGUAACGCUGUUGUUUUUUAUCGGUCGUCAUGAAAAAAACAUAAGGGGAAACACUGUUGUUUUUUAUUGGUCGUCAUGAAAAAAACCAUAAGGGGUAACACUGUUGUUUUUUAUUGGUCGUCAUGAAAAAACAUAAGGGGUAACAAUGUUGUUUUUUGUUGGUCGUCAUGAAAAAAAACAUAAGGGGUAACACUGUAGUUUUUUAUUGG